CCUACGGGUGGCUGCACUGGGGAAUAUUGGACAAUGGGCGAAAGCCUGAUCCAGCCAUGCCGCGUGUGUGAAGAAGGCCUUCGGGUUGUAAAGCACUUUCAGUGGGGAAGAAAGCCUUGGGGCUAAUACCCUCGAGGAAGGACAUCACCCACAGAAGAAGCACCGGCUAACUCCGUGCCAGCAGCCGCGGUAAUACGGAGGGUGCGAGCGUUAAUCGGAAUUACUGGGCGUAAAGCGCGCGUAGGCGGUCUGAUAAGCCGGUUGUGAAAGCCCCGGGCUCAACCUGGGAACGGCAUCCGGAACUGUCAGGCUAGAGUGCAGGAGAGGAAGGUAGAAUUCCCGGUGUAGCGGUGAAAUGCGUAGAGAUCGGGAGGAAUACCAGUGGCGAAGGCGGCCUUCUGGACUGACACUGACGCUGAGGUGCGAAAGCGUGGGUAGCAAACAGGAUUAGAUACCCGAGUAGUC
rnacentral:rRNA from 1 species